GACGAACGCUGGCGGCGUGCUUAACACAUGCAAGUCGAACGGAGCGAAUGAAAGCUUGCUUUUAUAAGCUUAGUGGCAAACGGGUGAGUAACACGUAGGCAACCUGCCGACAGGAUGGGGACAACAUUCCGAAAAGGAAUGCUAAUACCGAAUGAAGUCAGAGGAGGGCAUCCUCUUCUGAUGAAAGAUGGCCUCUAUAUAUAAGCUAUCACCUGUCGAUGGGCCUGCGUCUGUUUAGCUGGUAGGUGAGGUAACGGCUCACCUAGGCGACGAUCAGUAGCCGGUCUGAGAGGAUGAACGGCCACAUUGGGACUGAGACACGGCCCAGACUCCUACGGGAGGCAGCAGUGGGGAAUCUUCCGCAAUGGGCGCAAGCCUGACGGAGCAACGCCGCGUGAGUGAAGAAGGUCUUCGGAUCGUAAAGCUCUGUUGAUGGGGACGAACGUGCCUAAUGCGAAUAGUUUUAGGUAAUGACGGUACCCAUCGAGGAAGCCA
rnacentral:rRNA from 1 species